AUCAAAACCGAAAUAUUUCGGUUUGGAUUCGGUUUUGGGCUUCCAAAAACCGAAAACCGAAAAUCCAAACCGAAAUUUAUGAAGCCCAAAUAUCCCAGCCCAUUUCUCCUACCCUACAUAUAUAUACUAAAGCCCUAAAAUACUCCUCUCUUAUCCCAGUCUUUUUUUCCCCUCUUCUGCGGCACAUUCCUCACCAAACCCUAAUCCUCCAAAAUUUCCCCAUUUUCUCCCUCACCACCUCAGUAGCUCCGACCACCACCUUCCUCAGUCCGCUCACCACAUAUCCGGUCAACGUCUAUCACCAUCAGUUCGCUUGUGUUCGUGGCUUCGUGCUCCCGCAGAUCUCGUUUCUCACCGCCGCUUGUGUUCGUGGUUUUGUGCUCCCUAAAAUUACCACCAGUUCACCGCCGCGGCGCCGCUCGUGUUCGCGUUCCCUCACUAUCUCCUCUCACUCAGUCACUCAAGGAUAUCGUUGAGCUUGAUUGUUUGAAGCUGCCAUGUUGAAGAAAUGAAGAAGCUGCUGCCUGCCAUGUUGAUUCUAGCUGCUGUCAAUCUACCAUAUUGAUUUUAGUUGAUGUUAUUAUGGUUUUAGCUGCAUGUAGACUCAUUGUAGACUGUUAUUCCAUUUUAAGACUUUUAUCGUGUUUGUAAUUUUAUUCUAGUGGCUGGACAAAUUUUUUUAUUA